rnacentral:rRNA from 1 species
UACGUAGGCAGCAAGCGCUGUUCGGAGUUACUGGGCGUAAAGAGUGCGUAGGCGGUCCUGUAAGUUUGGUGUGAAAUCUCCCGGCUCAACUGGGAGGGUGCGCCGAAGACUGCAGGGCUUGAGUAUGGGAGAGGUAAGCGGAAUUCCUGGUGUAGCGGUGAAAUGCGUAGAUAUCAGGAGGAACACCUGUGGUGUAGACAGCUUACUGGACCAUAACUGACGCUGAGGCACGAAAGCGUGGGUAGCAAACAGG